rnacentral:rRNA from 1 species
AUGGAGGCGGCGGCGGCGUUCGGCACGUUGGAGGGUGUGGUGGGGGAGAUCACGCGGCUGCACCGCUCGCUGCCGGCGCGGCCGACGCUGGACGACGUGGAGGCAGCGGAGGCGCUCGCGCGCGCCGCCGACCGGGAGGAGCGGGCGCGCCUCGACGCCGUCGAGGCGCUGCGGAGGUCGCCGCUCGUGCCCGAGGAGCUCUUCUACGUCGCCCAGGAGAUGCACCGCGCGCUCGCCGGCUUCCAGUGCCGGGAGCAGAAGCGCGACGCCACGCGGAUCCUCGAGCUCGACGCGCUGCACGCCCUCUUCGACGACCUCAUCCAGCGGGCGUCCCAGUGCCUGCCGUCCACCUCCACCGGCGCCGCGCCGCGCAUCACCUCCACCGGCGGUGCUGCCUCCUCCUCGUCGGCCUCAUCAGCGGGGCCGUUGCCUGCUGCGGGCCGCUCCUCUUUGGUCACCAACGGCUUCAGUGCGGAGAGGACUGUGGGCACGAGCAUGGGGCGUGUCUCCAUGGAUGACAGCUACGUCAAGAAGGCCAAGGCGCCAAUGUGGGACGGCGGAGUCGUGGCAGCGAGUCCACGUAAGCCGGGAGGAACUGUUUCCGCAAACUCCGCGGCGGUUCGACUGGAUGACAGUUAUGGAGAUGAUAAGGAGAAAAUGAGCCUCAUUAAGCUAGCUAGCAUGAUUGAAGUGGCUGCGAAGAAAGGCGCUCGGGAACUCAACUUCAAAGGAAAACUCAUGGCCCAGAUUGAGUGGAUACCUGAUUCAAUUGGAAAGCUCACUGGGCUUGUUACCCUUGAUAUUUCGGAGAAUCGGCUUGUGGCUUUGCCACCAACAAUCGGGAAGCUUUCUUCUUUGACCAAGCUGGAUCUUCAUGCUAAUCGAAUAGCUCAACUCCCUGAUUCGGUUGGGGAUCUUCGCAGCUUGAUUUGCCUCGAUCUGAGGGGAAAUCAGCUUACAUCACUGCCCUCUAGUAUUGGGAGGUUGGCGAAUCUUGAGGAGCUUGACGUGGGUGCAAACCAUAUUGUCUCACUACCUGAUUCAGUAGGAAGCCUCACACGAUUGAAGAAGUUACUGGUCGAGACAAAUGACCUUGAUGAGCUGCCUUACACAAUAGGUCAUUGUGUUUCACUGGUGGAAUUGCAGGCAGGCUAUAAUCACCUGAAGGCUCUUCCAGAGGCUGUUGGGAAGCUAGAAUCUCUAGAGAUCCUCUCUGUGAGGUACAACAAUAUCAGGAGUCUUCCAACUACAAUGGCAUCUCUCACUAAGCUGAAGGAGGUCGAUGCUAGCUUCAAUGAGCUUGAGUCGAUUCCAGAGAACUUUUGCUUUGUCACUUCUCUUGUUAAACUGAAUGUCGGGAACAACUUUGCUGACAUGCAAUCCCUGCCUCGCUCUAUUGGCAACCUUGAGAUGCUGGAGGAGUUGGAUAUAAGCAAUAAUCAGAUUAGGGUGCUUCCAGAUUCUUUUGGAAUGCUGCAGCAUCUCCGUGUGCUUCGUGCGGAAGAGAAUCCUCUACAGGUGCCACCAAGGGAGAGAGCUUUAAAGGGAGCUCAGGCUGCCGUCCAGUACAUGGCUGAAUAUGCUGCCAAGAAAACUACAAAGCCACAGCCAGCGAAGGCAAAGAAGAAUUGGGCUCAGUUCUGCUUUUUCUCCAGGCCCAACAAAAGAAAGCAUGACCGGAUAGACACUGACAUGAUCGAUUGA